GCUUCACGGGUUCGAAGCUUAGCCAUUUCAUUAAGAUAAGCUUGAGGGGGAGUAUUGAUCAAGAUCUUAUUGAGUAUGUCAAGAUAGAAUAGACCAUUAUAAAGUACCUUAUAUUGGUCUAUUCUAUACAUACGGGGAUGUUCAAAUAGAUUAGCAUUAUUUAUAUUGUUAGCUUCCCUUGUAAGCUUAUCUCUUAUCCCACUUAUUUAUAUGUGUGGUU
rnacentral:lncRNA from 1 species